GAUGAACGCUGGCGGCGUGCCUAAUACAUGCAAGUCGAGCGAACAGACGAGGAGCUUGCUCCUCUGACGUUAGCGGCGGACGGGUGAGUAACACGUGGAUAACCUACCUAUAAGACUGGGAUAACUUCGGGAAACCGGAGCUAAUACCGGAUAAUAUAUUGAACCGCAUGGUUCAAUAGUGUAAGACGGUUUUGCUGUCACUUAUAGAUGGAUCCGCGCCGCAUUAGCUAGUUGGUAAGGUAACGGCUUACCAAGGCAACGAUGCGUAGCCGACCUGAGAGGGUGAUCGGCCACACUGGAACUGAGACACGGUCCAGACUCCUACGGGAGGCAGCAGUAGGGAAUCUUCCGCAAAGGGCGAAAGCCUGACGGAGCAACGCCGCGUGAGUGAUGAAGGUCUUCGGAUCGUAAAACUCUGUUAUUAGGGAAGAACAAAUGUGUAAGUAACUAUGCACGUCUUGACGGUACCUAAUCAGAAAGCCACGGCUAACUACGUG
rnacentral:rRNA from 1 species